rnacentral:rRNA from 1 species
AUUGAACGCUGGCGGCAUGCCUUACACAUGCAAGUCGAACGGUAACAGGUCUUCGGAUGCUGACGAGUGGCGAACGGGUGAGUAAUACAUCGGAACGUGCCCGAUCGUGGGGGAUAACGGAGCGAAAGCUUUGCUAAUACCGCACAAGAUCUAAGGAUGAAAGCAGGGGACCGCAAGGCCUUGCGCGAACGGAGCGGCCGAUGGCAGAUUAGGUAGUUGGUGGGAUAAAAGCUUACCAAGCCGACGAUCUGUAGCUGGUCUGAGAGGACGACCAGCCACACUGGGACUGAGACACGGCCCAGACUCCUACGGGAGGCAGCAGUGGGGAAUUUUGGACAAUGGGCGCAAGCCUGAUCCAGCCAUGCCGCGUGCAGGAUGAAGGCCUUCGGGUUGUAAACUGCUUUUGUACGGAACGAAAAGACUCUUUCUAAUAAAGAGAGUCCAUGACGGUACCGUAAGAAUAAGCACCGGCUAACUACGUGCCAGCCGCCGCCGUAACAC